rnacentral:rRNA from 1 species
AUGUGUCAGAGGGUUUUUGAUAACAGAGCCAUGCGAGUGGUCAACGAUUUCUGGGAUUUCUAUACAUGCGUUGAGGGUCAGAAGGAUCGUGCAAAUGUGGUGAUUGAGAAUAUUGCCAAGAAACUAGUCCACGACAUGCACUAUGAGGAGCGCGUCCGGUUAGUGGUCAAGUAUCACGCGGACUAUCUCAACCAUAGGAUUUCCAAACAGGAGGCUCGAGGUACACAUCUUUCACGGGACAAUUACUUCAAGCCGUGCUGGGAGAAGAUCGUCGAACGGUGGACAGAUCCAGGGUGGCAGGAUGAACACAAAGUAAUAUCUGAACGGCGUAAGUUGAUGGGGGGUCGAGGACACCAUCAAGGCAACCUCACCAUCCCAGAAAGAAGAUACUGGCAAGGAUAUCACUUACUUUGA